rnacentral:rRNA from 1 species
UACGAAGGGGGCUAGCGUUGUUCGGAAUUACUGGGCGUAAAGCGCACGUAGGCGGAUAUUUAAGUCAGGGGUGAAAUCCCAGAGCUCAACUCUGGAACUGCCUUUGAUACUGGGUAUCUGGAGUAUGGAAGAGGUGAGUGGAAUUCCGAGUGUAGAGGUGAAAUUCGUAGAUAUUCGGAGGAACACCAGUGGCGAAGGCGGCUCACUGGCCCAUUACUGACGCUGAGGUGCGAAAGCGUGGGGAGCAAACAGG